GCCAAUGUGGUGUAGUGGUUUGAACACUGGACUAGGACUCUGGAGACUAGGGUUUGAAUUCCUACUAAGCUA